AUGCACGUUGAUCUAAUUAUCUGUGCACUCCAGGUUUUCCUACCUACGAAUAGUUUAAACACCCACUGGUUCCUUGUGGUCGUAAACCCCAGAAGGAAGGAGAUUCAGGUUCUUGAUUCACUUUUCCACUGUAUGAUACCCAGAGAAGUAAAUAAUGUGGUGAGAAUUUCAACAUAUUUAAUUAUAAGAAAGGAUUUAACAUCGUAUGUAAGUAUUAAUCGUAGGCAACUUCUCAUCCCAUUGGGCAUGCAAGUACGUGGGAUGGAAGCACAUCUAAGAGCAGCGAUGCGAGUCAAUGGGAUUGAAAGCAAUGCAUGGGAACACAUUAACGUGAUGCAAUGGCCAGUAUGGAAUAUUAAUGUGCCAAAAUUCGAUGAGACGUCAGUCAACAAUAUUAGAUUUUGUUUUUGUUUUAGAUUCUUAAUAUCUGAAAUGCUGAUCUAA
rnacentral:rRNA from 1 species